UACGAAGGGGGCUAGCGUUGUUCGGAAUUACUGGGCGUAAAGCGCACGUAGGCGGAUACUUAAGUCAGGGGUGAAAUCCCGGGGCUCAACCCCCGGAACUGCCUUUGAUACUGGGUAUCUCGAGUCCGGAAGAGGUGAGUGGAAUUCCGAGUGUAGAGGUGAAAUUCGUAGAUAUUCGGAGGAACACCAGUGGCGAAGGCGGCUCACUGGUCCGGUACUGACGCUGAGGUGCGAAAGCGUGGGGAGCAAACAGG
rnacentral:rRNA from 1 species